rnacentral:rRNA from 1 species
AUGCAAGCUCGAGGGGCAGCAUAAAAAUGUAGCAAUACACUUUGAUGGCGACCGGCGCACGGGUGAGCUAACACGUAUGCAACCUACCUUCCACCGGGGCAUAGCCCGGAGAAAUCCGGAUUAAUACCCCAUAACACAGGGCUGCCGCAUGGCAAUAUUUGUUAAAGAAUUUCGGUAGAAGAUGGGCAUGCGUUCCAUUAGGUAGUUGGUGAGGUAACGGCCCACCAAGCCAACGAUGGAUAGGGGAACUGAGAGGUUUAUCCCCCACACUGGAACUGAGACACGGACCAGACUCCUACGGGAGGCAGCAGUGAGGAAUAUUGGUCAAUGGGCGAAAGCCUGAACCAGCCAAAUCGCGUGAAGGAAGACAGCCCUACGGGUUUUAAACUUCUUUUGUAAGGGAAUAAAAAAAGUUAUGCGUAACUUAUUGCAUGUACCUUACGAAUAAGCAUCGGCUAACUCCGUGCCAGCAGCCGCGGUAAUACGGAGGAUGCGAGCGUUAUCCGGAUUUAUUGGGUUUAAAGGGUGCGUAGGCGGAGACCUAAGUCAGCGGUGAAAUCUCGAGGCUCAACCUCGAACCUGCCGUUGAAACUGGGUCCCUUGAGUAUAGAUGAAGUAGGCGGAACUCGUUGUGUAGCGGUGAAAUGCAUAGAUAUAACGAAGAACCCCAAUUGCGUAGGCAGCUUACUAAACUAUCACUGACGCUGAGGCACGAAAGCGUGGGUAUCAAACAGGAUUAGAUACCCUGGUAGUCCACGCAGUAAACGAUGAUUACUA